AUUGAACGCUGGCGGCAUGCCUUACACAUGCAAGUCGAACGGUAACAGGUCUUCGGAUGCUGACGAGUGGCGAACGGGUGAGUAAUGCAUCGGAACGUGCCCAGUAGUGGGGGAUAGCACGGCGAAAGCCGGAUUAAUACCGCAUACGACCUGCGGGUGAAAGGGAGGGAUCGCAAGACCUCUCGAUAUUUGAGCGGCAGAUGUCAGAUGAGAUAGUUGGUGGGGUAAAGGCCUACCAAGGCAACGAUCUGUAGUUGGUCUGAGAGGACGACCAGCCACACUGGGACUGAGACACGGCCCAGACUCCUACGGGAGGCAGCAGUGGGGAAUUUUGGACAAUGGGCGCAAGCCUGAUCCAGCAAUGCCGCGUGCAGGAAGAAGGCCUUCGGGUUGUAAACUGCUUUUGUCAGGGAAGAAAUCUUCUGGGUUAAUACCUCGGGAGGAUGACGGUACCUGAAGAAUAAGCACCGGCUAACUACGUGCCAGCAGCCGCCGUAAGAC
rnacentral:rRNA from 1 species